GGCACUUUCAAUCAAAUGUGAUUGUGAUGAUGUCACCCCUUUCAGGAGGAUGAUUCCGUUCUUCAGGAAUACCUGAUCUUUCUGGCACUUGCAGAAGAUAAUUGCUUUGAAACAGAGCUUUUCUCAUCCUGGUGACAUCUGCUUGCCAAAGUUGAGCAGGUGGGGGUUGAUCAUUGAAAAAGAAAACACUAUUAUACGCUAUGGAACUGGACUGAGGGCUUGCAGUGACAGCCAUCACGCCCAGAGGAUGCUCAGCCUAUUUGUCAAGUUCAAGUGGAUGGCGCAUGUGUGGAAGAAGGGAAGGAAGUGGAUGGAGAAAUGGGCUGCAGAAGCUGGGACCCAGCCAAAACCAGUCUAGCGUGGCAGCUACCCGAAGAAGUCCCCAGUGAAGAUGGCUCCAGGCCCACGCUCUGCCCGAAGACUCGAGGGGGGAAUCUGUCCCCACACCUUUCUCUUAGUUUCUGAUAAUCUUGGCAUUUCUUGGCUUAGAGAUGCAACACUCCAACCUCUGUCUUUGUCAUCACAUGACAUUCUCCUGGGCUUCUGCGUCUCUCUUCUUCUUCUUAUGAGGACACUAGCUGUACUGGAUUUAGGACUCCCCAUAACUGGUGUGACCUUACCUUGGCUUCCUCGACCUAAACUGGACUACAUCUACAAAGACUUUAUUUCCAAAUAAGGUCACAUUCAUGGGUCCUGGGACUUCAGUACGUCUUUCUGAGGGACAAAAUUAGAUCCGUGGCAGCCUCUAAACCCUGUUAAUUCUACCUAUUACCCGUCUUCAUGCCCGUCUUCCUCUUCAUCCUCACUGCCAUUCCCUUGGUGCAAGUCCUUGUCUGGAUGUAUUCAAAGUCUCCCAACAGCCUUGGAAGAAUAUUGUUGUUAUUUUGUAAGAUUGACUGCUAGAAGUGGAAUUGCUAGGUGAAAAGGCUUUAUAAUUUUGGUAGAUACUACCAAUAUUUCUCUAAAGAAGAUAUUUUAAUUUGCAGACUUAGAUCUGAUGUCUAAGAGACCCCUUUCCCACUGACUGUUGUCAACACAGAAUUUUCCGAAUUCAGAAAAUUGUUUUGCAAACCCCAUUGUUUUAAACCAUUGUUUCAAUAUUUGCACUUGUAUUUUCCUCAUCACCAGGGACUCAGACCACAACUCACUGUGCUGACAGUGGCUGGGCCCCUUGCGCUGGUGCUGUCCCCUCUCCUUGCUCUGCCAUCACAGGCAGCCUUGUGGACACUCAGCAGUAGGUGAGACAGGAAAAGCAGGUUCCCAUCCUCGUGUGCUCACAUGCUAAGGGGUACAGAGCAGGCUCUUCCAUGCGGUCUCAUGGCUGAGUAAGCAUGCAGGUAGACAACCUCCUUCCUUAUGCCUGGUGCUCACGCAACCCUCCCAUGGAUUGGUUUGGGGACUAGAGGCCAGCAUCCCUGUUCCUGACAAAGCACCUUUCGUCAGGCUUGCACUUAGUUACCUGGAUGAUUCCCUUUCUCCUUCCAUGAGGCUGACCUGCUUCUGGAGGAUGGAUGGAGUGGUGGGGGUAAGGUGGAAGGACCAGUUUUGCCAACACUAUAAGGCUGAAGGAAAUUGAGACAGCUCAUUGACACUAUUCACAAUGUGUGGCUUUGUGGAGACGGGCCUUGGCUUUGGAGCUUUAGCCAAGAUGUCAAGAUUAAAGAAAGCUCAUGCUGCAUUUUGCUAUGUAUAUGUUACAGAUGUGUCCACACAUGGGGACAUGUUUGUAGGGGCACACUCACACUCUUACUCUGGGGAACGGGAUGUCUGUGUCUUUUUACCCACGUUAUUGCGCAUGCAUGGGGCCACUUUUACUUUGCUUUAUGUGGUUUUAUAUUGCUUAAGUUUUCAAAACAAACAUUUGUUACUUUUACAUAUACAAAAAUCUAAACAAUAAUUCACCUUCGAAUAGCUUUUUACUAGGUUGUAGAGAGUACUGGUAUCAAAACAUUGAACAAUUUUUCUUUCAAAAGAAAAGGACUAAUUUAUAAAUAAUUUUCUGAAUGCAUGUCCUAUGUACACCUUUGGAACAGGGUUUACUAUCUUCCUUUUUGUAAAAACUCCCACAAUACUUUGUACAGGUAUUCCCAAAUAGGAAGCUAAAGGUACAAAGGAAGGAAAGAAGGGGAAAGGGAGGAGAGGAGGGAGACAGAAAGGGAGGGAUAGAGGGAAAGAAGGCAGGAAGGAGGGAAGGAAAUUGAGUAGUCAAGAUAAGGGAAUCCUGAGGACUGCUCAGAUGCCUGCCACAGUCUCAUGACUCCUUUUUAAUGUUACACAAGACUUCAUUGUGAUUUAAAUUUAUCUUGCAAAGAUUCUAUUGCAAGCCUGAUGCUUAGUUCAAUAGGGAGGUACUUAUCUGAUUACUGCCUCCAAGACCUCUGAGCUUGUCUUUCUCCUCAGAAAAGGCACAGGGAACUCUUUGAAGUUUUCUAUGAAAUUAUGUGUUCAAGGGCUAUCUGUAUCCAAGAAAUUUGAUUGUGCUUCAAGAGUCGAUCAAGUUCUUGAAGGUGAUGGAAAAUGAUCCAGAACUGCCUCUGACCUGAGUCACAAGCCCUGUGGUCUGCCUCACUGGCUGGUGCUUGGAUUCCAAACUCUACUUUGAAUCUUCGCUCCAGGAGAGCGGAAAAUGAACUCAAGCUUUCUUCUUAAGAAUUCUGGGAAAACAACAACAACAACAAAAACCAAGAGAUAGAGAUAGAACAACAACAACACAAAUGGCUACUAAAUAUAGAAAAAUUAUCCAGCCUCAUGAGGAUUCAAACAGUUGUAAAUUUGAACAAUGAAUAUAAUUUUCCACCUUUCAA